rnacentral:tRNA from 1 species
UCCCCUUUCGUCUAACGGCAGGACAGCGGGCUUUGAAUCCGUCAAUGUAGGUUCGAGCCCUACAGGGGGAA